rnacentral:rRNA from 1 species
UACGGAGGGUGCGAGCGUUAUCCGGAUUUACUGGGUUUAAAGGGUGUGUAGGCGGGCUGUUAAGUCAGUGGUGAAAUCUCCGGGCUCAACCCGGAAACUGCCAUUGAUACUAAUGGUCUUGAAUGUUGUUGAGGUAGGCGGAAUAUGUCAUGUAGCGGUGAAAUGCUUAGAGAUGACAUAGAACACCGAUUGCGAAGGCAGCUUACUAAACAAAUAUUGACGCUGAGGCACGAAAGCGUGGGGAUCAAACAGGAUUAGAUACCCUGGUAGUCCACGCCCUAAACGAUGAUUACUGGACAUACGCGAUAUACAGUGUGUGUCUGAGCGAAAGCAUUAAGUAAUCCACCUGGGAAGUACGUCCGCAAGGAUGAA